UAAAUUUUACCUGUCAAUUCUCAGUUUACCUGUCUAUUCUCAGUUUAGUUACACCGCCCAAAAUCACAUGGUGGUUAGUAUAAAAGUUACGGGACCUGAUUGCCCUGAUUGUAAAAUUAUAACUGGCACCGGAUGCAUUUUUAUAUCUUUUUAUAUAAAAUUCUUUUUUAACAAUUUUAAGCCUUCUCAUUCCUUCUUAAAAUAUUCUCUUAUGUCAAGUUUUAUAGCCAUGGGAUUACAUCAAUGGUUUAAUUAUAUAUCCUUCCAUACAACUUUUUCUAAAAAUAUGAAAAAACACCCUAUAGCAUUAGAACAUUUUUAUAAUGAAUAUUCCCUAUAGAAUAAUUAAAAUAUUCAAUGGAAUCCUUAUGCUUAUAUAUAUGUAUGGUUAAUAUUUAUAUAAAUAUUUUGUUUUGAAAACAUUAACCUUUAUAAUUUUGAAAAAA